AUUCAAAAUAUUAGUCCUUUCAGGGUAAUUAAAUUAUACAGUAAAGCAUACUCACACACAGACACAGACAAUCUUACUGAUGCACACAAAUAGGCUCAUUGACAGACAAUCUCAAUGACACACACAGACAAGGUUACUGGCAGACACACAAAUUUAGUACAGACAAACUCUGAUACACACACAAGCUUACUACAGACAAGCUCACUGUCACACACACACGCUCACUACAGACAAGCUCGCUGAUGCGCACACACUCUCCCUACAGACACGCCCAUUGACACACACAUGCUCCCUACAGAAGAGCUCACUAACACAGAUUCACUACAGACAAGCUCACUGACCACAUAUGCUCACUACAGACAAGCUCACUGACACACACGCUCACUACAGACAAGCUCACUGACACAUAUGGUCACUACAGACAAGCUCACUGACACACACACUCACUACAGACAAGCUCACUGACACAUAUGGUCACUACAGACAAGCUCACUGACACACACGCUCACUACAGACAAGCUCACUGACACAUAUGGUCACUACAGACAAGCUCACUGACACACACGCUCACUACAGACAAGCCCACGAUCACACCCAUGCUCCUUACAGACAAGAGCUCACUAACACACACACAUAUGAUCCCUACAGACAAGCUCACUGACACACACACACACACAGAGGCUCCCUCACUAGCAGGUGCGCACACACACACAGAGGCAGACAGUCACUGACACCGAGGCAAACAUCCACACAUACAGACAGGCAGACAGCCACACACACACAGGCAGACAGUCACACACACACAGGCAGACCGUUACACACACACAGUCACACACACACACACACAGUCACACACAGACAGUAACAUACACAGGCAGACAGACACACACACAGACAGUCACACACACACAGGCAGUCAUACACAAAGGCAGUCACACGCACAGUCACACGCACACACAGUCACAGACAGACACACACAAACACACACUAACAGUCACACACACAGUCACAGUUACACACACAGUCACACACUCACAGACAGUCACACACACACACAGACAGUCACAGUCACACACACAGUCACAGUCACACACACAGUCACACACUCACAGACAGUCACACACAGUCACACACACACACAGUCACACACACAGUCACAGUCACACACAGUCACACACAGUCACACACACAGUCACAGUCACAGUCACACACAGUCACACACAGUCACACACUCACAGACAGUCACACACACACACAGACAGUCACACACACACACACACACAGUCACACAGACAGUCACACACUCACAGACAGUCACACACUCACACAGACACACUGACCUCCUUCUUACCUCCUGCUUGGAGCUCCUGGAGGCUGGUUGUUGGGGAAGCAGGGACUCCUUCCUGCUUCCCAUGCUGCAAUUAGCCGGCCCUGCCGCACAGUAAGCUCCGCCUCCGCCGCACGCUAAGCCCCGCCCC